UUCACCAGCAUUCACCUCCGUCACUGUUGUCGACCAAACCCACCCACAGUAGUUUACUGACAUUCUGCUCUUACUUCAGCUUAAAAUUUUCACUUUUUAAUUUCUAAACAUGUUUACUUGGAGACAAACGUUUGGGCUUUAGUUUGAUGCCUUUUUAAAUUGGGUAUUUAAAGAUAUCUUACUUUUAACAGAGCAGUUGGCUUGUAAAACAAGGUGGUCCUACAAGGCCGCCCAGAGAAGCUUCUGCUGAAAAUGAUAACAGAAAACUUUACUAGGAUAUUAAAAAAUCUACAUCCAUUUACAAUACUAUUUUAACGUGAGAAAAUCUUUUUUAUUAAUAUAAAAUAUGUCUAAACCUGUAUAGUCUUUUCUAAAGGUUUGCUUAAACAGAAUGUUAUGAAAAUUACAAGAUCAGAUUAACGAGGAAAUAUCUUAAAAUGGCAUCAGGCGUAUCUUUGGUCUGAUCCAUCCUAACAGUUAUCACCAUUAUUUUUAUGUUCACUAACAUUCACCUAGCAUACUGAUAGUACUACAUAUAUCCUCAGUACUCUGCCAGAGUACAUACUGUAGAUCCUCACCCCCUAGAAUUCAAUGUUCGGUCCUGUCCUGACUUGGUACAUGUGAUUACUGACAUAUGACUAGCUGUACAAAUGUGUGCUUCUCUUUUCACUGCCCCGAAGAAAUAAAAAUAAAUGCCUUUUGUUCCUGUAAAGAGAAAUUCAACGUCAAAACCUGGAAGUCAGUAGAAACGGAGGUUGAAUUGUGACAUUAGGGCUGUCAACUACAACUACAAAAUGUUAUUUAGAUUAACAAGGGAGUAGCUGUGGGUAAAUCAUGAUUAAUCAUGAUUUAUUACGGUAAAUUAACAUUCCUAAAUUUGACCCAAAAAAUGGAACAAAGAGACAAAUGACAGCAGUGAGAUUUUGUGAUUUAUUUAUUUUUUUGCCUGUUUUUACUGGUGAAUACUGAAUUGUUAAUGUGCAGUUUGAAGGUGGGUGGUUGAACACAUUAAGAGUUUCUUUCAAAACUUUGGUUACGCUGUUGUCCUCAACAAUAUCGCAGUCAAUCACGAUCUUUUCGACAGUCGUGUCAGUCAGUUUGUUAGUCAUAGAUGUGAGUUGGACGUGCCUCUCAAGUAAUGGCGUUUGUGUUUAUGUCGACUGUGUUCUCGAGGAACGAUUAUUUUGCCUAUUGAAAUGCGUUAAAAUUUUUAUCUAAAUAAUUUAGAAACAUUUCUAAUGUUACUGUUGAAAUUCUGCUAAAUAGUUUUCCUAUGACAUAUUCUUCUAAUGUCUUUCACUAAACUCUUACAGCCCAUUGUAAAUAUUUAUUGUUCGGAGCUCUUAUGAUUAUGAAUGAAGGGAGUGUAUUAGAGGGAAGUACGUGUGUGGUUUUGUGAAGUAUUUGAUCAGAGCUGCCUGUCGUGACAAAGGAAUGCUCUUGUCUGUGCAACAUUGUGGGUCAAACAGUCAGACAGGUCAAGUAUGUCGAGAAAAAAACCCUACACCCAUUAACAGUUUUGAAUUACAACGGACUCACUGCUCCCUAACAGUUUAGAUGUACUUUCUGGAAAUCCCAGAAAAUCAAGGGAUUACAGAGAUUCAAAGGAAUCUUUCUGUUUGUUCACGGUAUGCAUUUCAUUUUUCAGCAUGCAUACGAGAUGAGUAACAGACCAACUUUGUUUUGACAUGAAUCAUUCAGUACUGUUGCACAUUUUCUUCAUUAUUCUGCUAAUCCAAGGCGGGAAAAAAGUUCAAAAACCUCUGCUUAUCCCAUCAAAAAAUCUUACAUAUAACUGGCCAAAAAAAUAAAUAAGAAUUAUAUUAUGAAAUAUAUAUAUAUAAAUAAAAAACACAUCGAAUGUAUUUAAAUCCUGAGAACUCUAAGUUGGUCUACAUUUAUGAGCCCAAAGAGUCACAGCAAUACUUUGAUGAGUACUUGUUUUACGCUAUAUUGUCUUAAGUAUAAUGUUUAAAAUUAAAUAAUAAAGAAACUUUGUUAGUUUUAAGAACAAUACAGCAAAUCACAAUCAGUGGUAAUAAAAAAAACCUUUUUACAAAAUUUACGUCAAAACUGACCAAAAUGAUUUACAGAAUAUGAUAAAGUAACUGAUUUUAUGUGUGUUAAAAUCUAAUCUACUAAUAUUCAGGUGUGUUAUUGUCUGGAUCAGGUGUUCAAAUGUCCAGCCUGGUGUCGCUCCACCAUAAACCAGUUCCCAUGCCCCACUGUUUACAUUUAAAAGGUAUUUCCAGUAUAAAUUUGAAACAUUUGAAUUAGCCGACUUCUUCUGCCGUUAUUGAAUUUAUGUGUGGUUUGUGGUGUGCACCCUCUAGUGGAAUAACCCUUCACUACACCUCGUGUGUGGUCCAGCGAAAGUACUUGCAGAAAAAGUGAGACAUGUUAUUUGUUAUAAAUAUAACGUUAGGAAAAAUAAAUAAUAAACAGCCAAAUCUUUUUGCGCUUAUUUACAUGAUUUGAUUUUUGUUAAAUCUUAGCAAUGAAGAGUUAAUGCGUGGUUGUUUUUUUUUUUUUUUUACUAAAUUCAGUGCUUUACAGGAGGAGCAUCGCCGAUUAGUCCUACGUCCAUGUGAGGGCAGAUAAGCAGUAGAGCAGUAGUGCUGCUGUCUCAGUGUUCUGCCUUAUUCUCUCUCUCUCUCUCUGUCUCGCUCUCUCUCCUUCUCUCUGACAUUGCUUUUUCUGUCCCCUCUUCCUAUUCUCAUUCUCACGCUCAUUCUCACGCACUGUUUUGUCUUCCACAGUCUCGUUCACGCUCUGACAGCCUUUCUCUGACCAUGUCUGGCAGCCAUGUGUACGUUAUGUGAGGGCAUCGCAUCUACAGUAAAGCAGGUUUCCUGCACCUGCGAUACAAGAUUUUUUUUCCGCUUGCGCAGAACUUCAGCAUUUCUCUGAUUUUCUCAGGGCUCCAUCUUUCUUCAGGUCCAUGUUUUUGUGGAGAUGUGAGGGCUUUCGUCUGCUUUGGAUUCCUGAGUUUUCGAUUGAAAGGGGAAAAAAUCAUUUUAGUAGGUAAAAGGGUGGAGUGCGUCUCUAUUGGGUUUGGAUUAAAGACUGUGCUACUGUGCUGAGUCGGAUCAUUGAGCUUAGACAGGAAGCGGUUACACUUUGUAAUCAAAACACACAAAUACACACCUCUCCACCCUGUAGCAACAGAGUAGGAUUAAGAUGCUGACUACGUCCUGGGAUUCAAGUCACAGGGGUUUGUAUGUGCCAGCAGUUUGACUUAAACCCAGUGGAAUUCUCCCAGUCUGUGGGACCAUGUGCCAACUUCCUGCCACAAGUGCACAUGAUGCACAUCACCAGAGAGCUCAGAGUUUUUUGUUUUUUUCUCGUUCAUUCAACACAGCUAUUUAAGAAUAAUGAAGUCAUGCCUUUUCUAACGGCUUCAGACGCUGAUGUCAUGAUCUUCAGCUUUUUGUUCCCUCUCUUAAAUCUUUAGCCCAGUGCUACAUUACAGGAUGUGCAGGGGAGGAAUUUUUACUGUCCUCAAACAUCCUGUAUGGAUCAAGUCCACCACUGCUUGUAACCCUGUCUUGUAACAGAAAGGGUUAACAGUCUGUGAAUUCUUGAUUGCCAACUCCCAGGAUCGUAUCUCCUGUAACUAAAAUCAGGGCCAUCUGCGCUGGGCGUAUGCCUGCCUUCCCCCCUGGCCUACUGCGCUCAAAGGCUCUCUGUGCUGUGGUUUGCCCGGCCCAGUCAUGUGACUUCUCUGAAAGUGCCCCCUCCCUCCUCCUCCCUCUUUAUUUCCAGUAAACUGUUUGAAAGGAGGGGGUGAGUCAGAGUAAAACCAGCUUCCCUUUAACCACAGCUUGUUAAAGAAUUUGUCAACGUGGACUCAGGGGUGCAUUUUUUUGCAUUUUGUGUGUGCGUGCGUGCACGUCAGAUAAUAUGAAUGUGAAGUUCCUUUUUUUUCUUUGAAAAGAGGACUGGACUGUAGCUUUGAAUGCAACAGGAAUCCUUCAUCACUCCACCUCUUUGACACAGAGCGCGGGUACAGGCGCGGGCUUGUCAGUAGUUAAUGAGAUGAACUUUAACUGUCUUCAUGUUAGUGGCUGACGGCCGCUCCGGGGAUGUGCGUGUCUUCAGUGUGAAAGACUUUCAUUGAGAAAAAAAGAAAACAGAGAAAGGCAGAGAAGAAAAAAAGCGUGUGUGGGUGUUAACUUGUGUGUAGGCUAUGCAUAGAUUUUUCCUUGUCGGACACUUUUUUUCCACAUGGAGCAGGGGUUCCUCGUAACCGCCUGCUUUUUGUCUGUUUUUAUGCCGUGCAGCCCACCAGCUUUACCAGAGUCACUCGAAGAACACUUUUCCUUUGCCAACUUUUUCACAAUGAAAAUCCUCUAUAAACAGAUGUCGUAUAACAUCGAGCAGUAAUGUAAUUCAGAUGAAAAACCACAAAAGAAACAUUUAAAAAAAUUACAGACAUUGUAAUAAAAAAAAUGUAUGUAUGGGUCAAACUGUAAAAUUUAGAAUGGUUAAUUACAAUAUUUGAAAUCAAGUAAAGACCUGAGAACUUCAACUGCAAAGAUUGAAACCAUGAUGACAAUUCUCACAACAAACGUCCGACACACAGUAGCAGAAAUGGCUAAAAUGCUCUUUUUCUUGGACAUAGUUGAUAGACGCUUAAGGAAGACCUAGCGUGUUGUAAUGCACCCAGAUACACUGAAAUAUCAUGGAAUCUUAGUUAUUUUACAUCAGAGUACUUUCAGCUACGUACAUCUGUUGUUGAUAUGAACUGCAUUGAUGACACAUUGGCCACUUAAAUUGGUUUAAUGAUACAUGUUUGCAUACUCACCCUUUGUUGUCCCUGAUGGUUGUUGCCAUUGGACUCUUGACCGCCAUUAAGAGGAGAGAAUAUUGACAACUAUUCCACCUUAAAGGAUGUAAGUGAAGUAUCAGUAGGCGUUAAAGGUCACAAAAACGACUUAUAAUUAGUUGUUCUACAUGAACAGUCUGUGUUAUAGUAUGUGCCAGACUUGGUCAUGGACACCUGUAGCUCAUAGAUAAAAUGAUGUCAUUGGUCAUUAAUUAAGUCUUAGUUAUAAGGAUGAAUUUGAUUGUAUAUCAUCUCAUCAUAUCAUAUCAUAUCAUUACAAACUGGGCUAUAGUUCCCUACUGAUACCAACUCCAUUGAUUGGCUGUAGACUGCUGAGUAAAGCAUCUGCACCAGGCAGCCAAACCUGGAACCAAAACCUCCGCGACUUUGUUGACGCUGCACCCCUGACUAGAUCUUAUCAAAUGUAAUAGCUGCCUGGCCCAGCCCUGCAGGCCACCAGUGACUGAGAGGAGGAGGGUUGGGGGUUGGGAAAGCUGCAGGCAGUUCUUGGCAAGCUGCCUGGUAAAGAUGGUGAUUUUCCACAAGCCGCCAACUGCAGAGUCAGGAUGUCUGAACCCCAGCCAUCUCAGAUAGAUGCUUCUACCCCUGUUCAGAUAUGCAGCCUUGAAAAAAAAAAGGCUCAGCUGUAGUAAAUCUCUCUCUCUCUCUCUCUCCCUCUCUCUCACAUGUGCACGAAUGCGUGCGCACACACCCUCACCUCAUGUCCUCAGCGACCCCUUUGUUCACACCUAGCUGUUAUUUUCAUAUUUGUUCUCAAACAGAACCUAAAGCCAGUCCACUGUCAACUGAUGUUAACAGUGUGUAUGCGGUGAUGCAACCAAAUGAGUGGGACAGCAACACGGCUAAUGCUCAGGCCACCGAUUGGUCCGUGCUGCAGCUCAGUCAUCAGGUGUCCCUGCUCCAGACACAGUCUCAACAGUUCAGCAAUACACAUUCUUCCCUCCAGCUGAGCAACACUGUCUCUGUGUGUCUGUCUCUGUGUGUUUGUGUGUGUGAUUUACACACACACACACACCGGGGGUGUCUACAGGCUUGUCCCAGCUGCAGAAGUCUUGAUUGGAUGUUAGGGAAGGUAGAAAUUCAAAUUGUGAACCAAUCAGAAUCUGUGUCUCUUUGCUCCCCCCACCAUCACCUUAUUAGGCGACCUCCCAUGUCUCUCAAAUUUCCUGUCCACUGGGUUGCACCCCAUAAAGAAUGUCAUCAGAACUGUACUGGCGUUGUUGACCAUAUUAGGUAUGGUCAUGUUCUGCCAGCCCCUCCUUCUUCUUUCAUCUGUUUGGAGCAAUAUGAUGUGGUAGAAGUCGAGGCCUUCCUUCAAACUAGAAAAAUAUUAUCUUCCUGUCUUUUCAGAUGAAAAUAUUUUUUAAAUAUUUCCCCCAGACUCGUAUUUUUUGUUACUAAAAUGAAACAACAAUGUCAUUCCACCGGAAAAUUCAGUUAAAUAAAAAUACCCACAGAUGCACAAAUCCUGAGCAGUUUAAUUCAAAACUGCACCUGAAUAAUAUUUAGAAAUUUAUUUCAGAUGAAAAUCAAUGAUGAAAGUAUAAAACUAUAAUAAAAUCAAAUUAUAGAACAGUUAAUAGAAGUCUUCGAAUUAAUAUUAUAAAGAUAAAGCAUAGUCAGUAUUAGCAAGCAGUUUAAUACAUAAAAUAAACACAAAUAAUUUAGUUGUCUGCAGUAAUAAAAAAAAAUUUCACUUAAUUUUAAAUAUUGUGGCUACAAAUGUGCAAGAAAUAUAAUUUGAAAAAAUUGACAUAACGAAAAACCAUUUAUAUAUCUUCAAAAAUGAAUGAUUUUAAAAUAUUUUACUUACAGCAGCCAACAUAAAAAUAUAAUUAUAUCAAUUAAAUAGUAAAUUUAUACUGCAAGAACUGAGCAGUCUUUGUAACUUUGUAAAAAAAUAAAAUUUGUGCUCUUAUUAUGCAACAUUUAAACAUUUAAACACUUUUAAAAUCAAAUGCCUUUCACAAAUAUUAUUCAUUAUGAAAUUAAAAUAAUUAUACAUCAAAUAUCUUAGGCCUUUGCAAAUGUAUUACUGUUUUGUAGAUAUUUAUUUCACACAACCCCAAAUUUGAUCUGCUUUUUUUUCUGCUACUAAAAGAUCUGUUGCUGUGUAUUUUAAUUAAAAUAACUCAACAGCAGCUUAAAGAAUUUUACUGGUCAACAAAUACAAAAUUGUCCUGCAAAAAAAUAUAGUAUAAUAAUGAUCAUUUACCUUAAUAAAUGUCUGUCCGGGAAUCAGAAUGGUCCUUUAUCAUAUUUUUUUCCCUCUGUAUUCUCAGUAUAUUCCCAGAAGAAGCUGAACUAAAUCCCCCUUUUUCUGCAAAAAAAAAAAGAAGAGAGUUUUAUGAGGAAAAAUCUGUGUCAUUGCUUCCAAAAGAGGCUUUUGUGUAGCUGUCAGGAAGGGUAGAGCAAGACCUGCAUAAAGCAGUAAGAAUCUGUGAGUCACAGGAAUGAACAAAGUCUUUUGUCUCAUUCUCACAUUCCC